UUGGAAUUUGUUAAAAAAGAAAAGGAGCGCAAUUGCUUAUAUACUCCUAAAAAGUUCCUGACUUUCUAAUUUACUCUUCUUAGAAGACCAAUAUUAAAAAUUAAAAAUAUCUUUUUAAUAUUUCAAGUUAUUUCAAUUAUAUCCCUAAGUUAAAUUCAGUUAGUGAACUAUUAGUAACAACCGUUGUCUCUAUAAAAUUACUGUUUUGCCCUUUCAAAUGUACCCUUCUACCAUCACCAACUUUUCUUAUUUACCUUUAAAUUAGGGGCAAAAAAAGUAUUUUAAUUUUUUAUCUUUUCAAAUAUACCCUUCUACUAUCACCAACUUUUCUUAUUUAUUACCUUGGAGUUAAGGUAAAGGUAAGGACAAAAGAGAUAUUUUUAUCUUUUUUUAACUUCGGUAUAUAUGUAACUCACAUUUAAUCCGAGAUAUAACUUAACGGAUGGUAACUGCAGAGGCAUUUUUAAAUAACAGAGGAAUAUGAGGAAUAUAUUUGACAAAAAAAAAUAGUAAAUUAGAUAUUUCUAAAGUUUUGAGGAGUAUAUGAACAAUUAUCCCUAAAAAAAAAAGGAUGAGACCCAAAGCUAUAUAUAUAUAUAGAGAGAGAGAGAGAGAGAGAGAGAGAGAGAGAGUUCGGCUACCAUACUCUAUAAGUACGAUCGUCUUCGUACUCAUAAGAUGUUUUCGAUGAUAAAGCUUUGGAAUUGACGAUUUAUAUCGUUAAACAUUAUCUAGAGUAUUUAUAACGUCUAGGAAUUAAAUUUCAUAAUUAUUUGAAAUCAAUUACCUUACAAUAAGAAGAUUUCAAAAUUGACAAUUUUUAACGAUCAAAAUGGGAUACUUGCUAGUCUAAUAAUGUAAAGGAAUCAGAAUUCGGUUGCAUUUUUGAUAAAAGAUUUUAUUCACUAUUUAGAUAAAGAUUAAUAACUCCAAUCUUAAAUUAAAGAAUCCAAUCAUCCAAUUUUAGUAUGUCAUUUGAUUUUAACCGUUCAUUUUAUGCUCACUUGAUGGACUUUAUUAUAAUUUCGAAAAAUUAUGAAAUUUGUUUUUUAGUAGUUUCAAAUACUCUCUCUCUUAGGAAUGCAAACAGAUCCGGGUUGGUGGAGCUCCCGCCCCGAUCUGCCCCGACGGGAGAAAAUAAACGGAUUCGGGGCGGUAAACGGGAUAAAUUUUACGAUCCAAGACUAAUUCGGGGCAGGAAACGGAAGAAAUGGUAAAUGGGGUAAAUUUUACGAUCCGAGACUGAUUCGGGGCAGGAAACGGGAGAAAUUUUGACCCGCUCCGAAUCAGCCCCGAAAAUUAUUUUUAUUUUAAAAAAAUAUUCCUAAAAAAUAAUGUAUUUACAAAAAAGUUCAAAAUACAAAUAAGUUAGUACUCUCAUUUUUAAUAUAUUUGAAACUUUUGAAUUCUGUUUUGUAUUGUGAUUGAUAUUUUUUAUUUUUAUAAUUGAUAUUGUUAAAUUAUAUAUAUAAUAUUAUUAAAAAUUAUUAUUUUAUAUUUUACAAAAUAUUAAUAAUAUUAUAAUUUUAUAAAAAAAAUUAGUUGGCAAGGUGGAUUCAGGGUGCUGGCGGCUUAUGAAGCAGGGCGGAUUAUGAGAUGUAUUUUUUAACCCGUCACGGAU
rnacentral:lncRNA from 1 species